rnacentral:rRNA from 1 species
CAGUCGCCGCGGUAAUGCGUAGGGUGCGAGCGUUAAUCGGAAUUACUGGGCGUAAAGCGUGCGCAGGCGGUUGUGUAAGACAGGUGUGAAAUCCCCGGGCUUAACCUGGGAACUGCGCUUGUGACUGCACAGCUAGAGUAUGGCAGAGGGGGGUGGAAUUCCACGUGUAGCAGUGAAAUGCGUAGAGAUGUGGAGGAACACCGAUGGCGAAGGCAGCCCCCUGGGCCAAUACUGACGCUCAUGCACGAAAGCGUGGGGAGCAAACAGGAUUAGAUACCCGUGUAGUCCCUGUCUCUUAUAC